AUAAAUUUAAAGUUUUUUAAAAAUUAAAAUUUAUGACAUUUAUUUUUAAAAAUAUAAUUAUAUUCGUCAAAAAUUCUGUCUGGGUCGAAUUUUUUUAUAUAAAAUGCUGCAAAUUAUUUCUCGAUUUCUACUGGUAAUCAUCGUUGUCACUUUAGCCUGUUUUUCCAUAAUUCGAUGCCGGGAAACAAAAGCAGCAGAGUAUGUUUCAAAUGGACUCAGGACCACUUUACCCCGUUCAACUAGACCCUAUCUAAUUCAUCAAAAUCUGCGUUACAAUUUCGAUGCUCCCGAAACUUGAAGGC